rnacentral:lncRNA from 1 species
CUCAUUCAGUUGUACUUCCCCAUAAUUACUAGGCUUGUCAGGCCCUACCUAUAUGAUGACUAAAUAAUCUCUACUUCAAAAAUUAUCAACAACUACUUUCUCCCCUCGUUGUCCUAGGUUACUUACUCCAUUAAGAGAACCAUCAUUGGCAUGGGUCAAAUUUGUCACUAUUCAAUUAAACACAAUACGCAUUUCAUGAU